CCCUUAGAUGUCCUGGGCCGCACGCGCGCUACACUGAGUGUCUGAGAUAUGAGGCAUGCCUGGUCCGGCAAGGUCUAGGUAAUCGCUAAAAGACACAUCAUGCUUGGGAUAGAUUAUUGCAAAUAUUAAUCUUGAACGAGGAAUUCCUAGUAAGCGCAAGUCAACAGCUUGCGUUGAUUACGUCCCUGCCCUUUGUACACACCGCCCGUCGCUACUACUGAUUGGAUGUUUAAGCGAGGUUCUCGAACUGCUAGCGACUUAGCUUCGGUGAGGUCGCAGUGUGGGAAGUGAACCUAGCUUUGGUGUCUAGAGGAAGUAAAAGUCGUAACA
rnacentral:rRNA from 1 species